AUNCNUAUUAUUGACGNCCAAAGGGUGCGCAGGCGGAAGAUUAAGUCGGCGGUGAAAUUUCGCAGCUCAACUGNAAAAGUGCCUUCGAAACUGGUUUUCUUGAGNGCGGAUGAAGNAGGCGGAAUUUGUGGUGUAGCGGUGAAAUGCAUAGAUAUCACGAGGAACUCCGAUUGCGAAGGCAGCUUACUAAGCCAUAACUGACGCUCAGGCACGAAGGCGUGGGGAUCAAACAGGAUUAGAUACCCUGGUAGUCCACGCAGUAAACGAUGANUACUAGCUGUUUGCGAUAUACAGNAAGCGGCUGAGCGAAAGCGUUAAGUAAUCCACCUGGGGAGUACGUUCGCAAGAAUGAAACUCAAAGGAAUUGACGGGGGCCCGCACAAGCGGAGGAACAUGUGGNUUAAUUCGAUGANACGCGAGGAACCNUACCUGGGCUUGAAAUGCAUCUGACAGGAGCAGAGACGCUCUCUCCCUUCGGGGCAGAUGUGUAGGUGCNGCAUGGUUGUCGUCAGCUCGUGCCGNGAGGNGUCGGCUUAAGUGCCAUAACGAGCGCAACCCUCAUCAUUAGUUACCAUCAGGUCAAGCUGGGACUCUAANGAGACUGCCAUCGUAAGANGCGAGGAAGGCGGGAUGACGUCA
rnacentral:rRNA from 1 species